rnacentral:rRNA from 1 species
AGUGAACGCUGGCGGUAGGCCUAACACAUGCAAGUCGAACGGCAGCACAGUAAGAGCUUGCUCUUACGGGUGGCGAGUGGCGGACGGGUGGGGAAUACAUCGGAAUCUACUUUUUCGUGGGGGAUAACGUAGGGAAACUUACGCUAAUACCGCAUACGACCUACGGGUGAAAGCAGGGGAUCUUCGGACCUUGCGCGAUUGAAUGAGCCGAUGUCGGAUUAGCUAGUUGGCGGGGUAAAGGCCCACCAAGGCGACGAUCCGUAGCUGGUCUGAUAGGAUGAUCGCCCAAACUGGAACGGAGACACGGUCAAGACUCCUACGGGAGGCAGCAGAGGGGAAUAUUGGACAAUGGGCGCAAGCCUGAUCAAGCCAUACCGCGUGGGUGAAGAAGGCCUUCGGGUUGUAAAGCCCUUUUGUUGGGAAAGAAAAGCAGCAGGUUAAUACCCCGCUGUUCUGACGGUACCCAAAGAAUAAGCACCGGCUAACUUCGUG